rnacentral:lncRNA from 1 species
UCGUGCUGUGCUUCUCCGCCGCAGGGCGUGGCCUCGGCGGUCCACGACGCCGUCCCUCGGCCAGUGCCGCCGCUCGUGGCGGUCGCUAGCCACAGGAGGGAGUUGGUGCUAGGGGCGGCGCUGACCGCGGUGCUGUCGAGGGCGCCGCUGCCGCCGGCCCAGGCGCGCGAGGUGGAGGUCGGCACGUACCUGCCGCCGGCGCCGUCUAACCCUGGCUUCGUCUUCUUCCGUGCCACCCCCAAGGACACCCCCGCGCUCCGCGCCGGUGAGGUCUCGGUCGUCCUUGCCAUGAUUUUUCUGUAAGCAUGUUGUUGUGGGAUCAGUACUCAGUGCAUCAUUUUCAUUCGUGCCAAUCUGACUCACUCAGGCAAUGUGGAGCCGUACGAGUUCAUCCUGCCGCCGACGUGGAAGCAGGCGCGCGUCGCCAACAUCCUGUCCGGGAACUACUGCCAGCCCAAGUGCGCCGAGCCGUGGGUGGAGGUGAAGUUCGAGGACGAG